AAGCAUCUACUGAUAGACCUGAAGCCUCUCCCAGUGGCAUCUGGGUUUGCAAUCUGAUGCAAGAGUGAAGGUUCCUUGCUUUUUCUGUCGGUCCUGUGGCAUGAUGGAUUGAAUAGAGGAAAACAUAA